rnacentral:rRNA from 1 species
ACGUAGGGAGCGAGCGUUGUCCGGAAUUACUGGGCGUAAAGGGUGCGUAGGCGGCUUGGCAAGUCAGAUGUGAAAUCCCCGGGCUUAACUCGGGAGUUGCAUUUGAAACUGCUAGACUAGAGUACAGGAGAGGAGAGCGGAAUUCCUAGUGUAGCGGUGAAAUGCGUAGAUAUGAGGAGGAACACCAGUGGCGAAGGCAGCUUACUGGAUUGUAACUGACGCUGAGGCACGAAAGCGUGGGGAGCAAACAG